rnacentral:lncRNA from 1 species
UAACUCAUGCAAAUAUAAAUACCAUUAAGCAUGGUCUCAUCUGCUGAACCAUCCCGAAUAGUGUUCAGGGAGUACCAAAACUGAAUCAGCCUAGAAUUAGGAUGGUUUGGGCUCCUAAAACAGGACAAGAUAUGAACCCAAUCAAAACUGGACCAAACCUAGCUGAACCGACUAGUUCGGCCUAGUUUCAGGUGGUAUUGACCC